GCCUGGCUGGCUCAGUUGGUGAAGCACCUGACUUCGGCUCAGGUCACAGUCUCACAGUUCAUGGGUUUGAGCCCCAUGUCAGGCU
rnacentral:tRNA from 1 species